UACGUAGGGGGCAAGCGUUGUCCGGAAUUAUUGGGCGUAAAGCGCGCGCAGGCGGUUAUUCAAGUCGAAUGUGAAAGCCCCCGGCUCAACCGGGGAGGGUCAUUCGAUACUGUUUGACUUGAAGGCAGGAGAGGGUAGUGGAAUUCCCGGUGUAGUGGUGAAAUGCGUAGAUAUCGGGAGGAACACCAGUGGCGAAGGCGACUACCUGGCCUGUUCUUGACGCUGAGGCGCGAAAGCUGGGGGAGCAAACGGG
rnacentral:rRNA from 1 species